AGAAAAGCUAUGAAACCAAUAGCAACAAUUACCACGGGAGCCACGGUCACUGCUUUUUGUAUGGCUACAGGUGCAACAACUGCAGAACAACCACCCGCAAUGAGAACACUUGCAGCUUGGCCAUGUAUAACAGCAGGUCGGCCAUUUAUGGUGGCAGAACACCCAGCUAUAAUUACAACAUAAGCUGAAUCGUCGUGAAUCCUUGUUUAAUGGGACAAAAGAGUGCCCGGUGGCUCCACUCUCAUUGGAGAGACUUGACACACUUGAUGAAAUGUCUCUAUGUCGUUGUGAAUCCUUGUUUUCACUGAGCUUUUGGUCAAAUUUGAAAGAUUCUUCUGAUGUUUCUAUUGUUUUCAAAUUCUUUAUGUCAGCACUUUUUCUGGCAGUUUCUAUCUCUUCAAUUGCAAUUGAUGGGGUUCGAUUAAACAUACUUUGUUCUUCAGGUUUGAUCAAUUCUUUCGACAAGCAUAAUUCACCAAACUUAAAGAUGCAUCAGAUGCGGUGAAUUUCAACGCAUCUAUUCGAAAGAAAUCAUCUGAUGAUGUUUCUGACAAAGAAGAAGAACUUGACCUCCUACCCAACGAAGAUAAGCUUUUGGUGCCAUUGAUAUCUAUUCCAGGCUUUAAUAGGACUCAUGACUUAUUUCCGAGAGGCAACUGUACAUACUCAAGAGCUGUUGGAUUUGCUUGUCAAAUGUGAAAAUAAAAUUCAAACUCGUAUCAAGAUUGGACUCAACUCAAACAUGCAUAGCAGGUUUCCACCUGUUAUUUUCUACACCCCCAAGGAAAUUGGAGGGCUUGGAAUGUUGUCUAUGGGUCACAUUUUGAUUCCACAAAGUGACCUACGAUACAAUCAGCAAACAGACUUUGGUGUUUGUGCAGAGUUUGGGGGUUCUGUGUUCAAACCUCUUUUGGAGAAUGCAGAGUCAAUUGUGAUUGAAAAGGGAACUUUCUAUAGAAUGUGUAUAUUAUUAUGUGUUCAUGGUGCGAUUGAGUCUAAAAGUAGGUUAAGCAGUUGUGGUCUUGGAGCUUCACCUGUUUUUUUGUUCUUACAUUAUUGUGUGAGAAUGUAUGCACCUGUCUUUGGCCCCCUCUGCAGGUCUUUUCAUGAUGUGAUGUACUGAUUGUGCCUUUAUCUCCCUAAAUCAUGCCACUCUCUCCUUGAAGUAUAUUCAAGUUUAAAUAUUUUGAGUCUCCAAUAUUGGUUUGAAGCUUCCAAAUGCAGUCUUUUAGAAUAACGGAGCUUGCUUUGUUCAAUUGCUUGCCAUGAACUUCUCUUAGACUGAUGAUCAAUCAGGCUAUCUGGCUAGGCUAUAUUUAUAGCAAUUUUCUCCGACUUUAAAUGCAUUCCUGAGUUGCCUUUCCAUCUUUUUUAUUAUUUUGUGGAGCAAAACAUUGUUUUCUUGUAGCAAGCUAGAGUUAAGCUUUAGCUUGAGGGGGAGUGUUGUACCAUUGCCACCUGGACGUUUUGUCAAUAGGAGGAAGGAGUGUUUGAGUGACAGGAGUAGAAUCACCGGGUCAUUAGGUGGGGGAACAGAUGGGCCAGAAUCGCUAGUACCUUGUUCAUUCGCCAUUUCAGAUUCAGCUUGGUUAUCGUCUUCAGAUUGUGAAGACUGACUAUUACUACUUUCACCUUGAGCACUAUAAGAAUUCAGCAUCAAAUCCUUUACCAGUUUGUCAUGUUCUUUGUUGUCAUCAUAAGGAGUCUGCUGCUGAGAUUGUAGCCUUGCGUUCCGAAGUUUCAAUGCUUGAACAUUAUCAAGAGCAAACUCCACUAUUGACUGAUGUUCAGGACCAAAAGUUUCAGGCUUAGAAACACCUGAAACCUUGUCAGACUUUUUAGAUGCUUUACUAUUUGCAUCCUGAACCUUUCUUGCAAUAUCUGCUUCCUUGUCAAAAUCAUCUUCAGAAGGAACAUCUUCCACUACGACACCCUCGGUAUCACUAUCAUCUCCAGGAUCAGAUUGUUUGUCAACAUGCUUGACAUCAUCCUCAGUACCCAGUCAACACCUAUGAGACGAGUCUCAAACUAUGAUCCAUUGAGUUUUCGAAUGGCACUUUCAUUGUGGCCCUUGCUUCCACAUAAAACUACCGUCUUUAUUGCGGUUUCUAUUUUCCUAAAAUCUUAGCCACCUUAAUUGUGGUCCUUUUGCCGCCUUCGUAGCGGUUUCUAUUAGCCACCUUCAUUGCGGUUCCGCCUUCGUAGCGGUUUCUAUUAGCCACCUUCAUUGCGGUUCCGCCUUCAUUGCAGUUUCUAUUUCUUAGCCACCUUCAUUGUGGCCCUUUUUGCUGCCUUCAUUGCAGCAACUUGAGAUUUCUUUUUGGCCUAAUUUGCACUCCAUAUAACUCCUCCCAUGACAACCUUGCAGAUCUUCUAACUAAAGGGCUGAACAGUAGCAACUUUGAAAGAAUUGCAUUCAAGCUGGGAAUGGAGAACACCACCUAUUCACCAGCUUGAGGGGGAGUGUCAAAAUAUAUUUCUAUUUAAUAUCUCUCAAGUAUAGGGAUUUAGUUGAAUAGGAGUAAUAGUAGGGAUUUAGUUGAAUAUGAGUAAUAGUAGGAAUUCAGAUAUAUAGGAGUACUAAUAGGAAUUCAGUUAUAUAGGAGUACUAGUAGGGAUUUAGUUAUAUAUGAGUAAUUAUAGGAUUUGGUUGUUUAGUAAUCUAGUAUAAAUAUAUCUGAUGUAUUACCGAUAUAUUUCAAGUUUCAAUAAAUAUGAUUUUAUUUUAAUUCUUGACAGAAGUAUACCUUGGGCUUAUGGCAAGAGAUUGGGAUGCUUAGGUGUAAGGGAGCCAGCACACCCGUAGAAGUAACCAAAGGAACAAAAUCCCAAGAAGAAAGCAUUCCAACUGAGAAGGACAGGUAUCAUCAACGCUUAGUGGGAAAACUAAUCUAUUUGGCACACACUAGACCAGAUAUUGGGUUUGCUGUAAGUAUGGCAAGUUGCCAUCUGUCAAAUCCCACAGCUGCAAAUAUGGUUGCAAGAAGAAGGAUCUUACAAUAUCUCUAAAGCACUCCAGGCAUAGGUCUUUACUUCAAGAAAAUUCAAAUAAAGGUAUUGAAAUCUACACAGACUCAGAUUGGACAGGUUGUGCUGUGGACCAAAAAUCUACAUCAGGUUAUUGUUCAUUUGUAUGGGGAAAUAUGGUUACAUGGAGAGGCAAGAAACAAUUUGUGGUGGCAAGAAGUAGUGCAGAAGCAGAACUUAGAGCCAUGGCUCAAGGAAUAUUGUGAGGGAAUGUAGCUAAAAAGGAUGAUUGAAGAGUUUAAAAUUUCCAACAACUGUGAGGUGAGAAUUCUCUGUGACAAUAAGGCUGCAAUUAGCAUGGCAAAGAACCCUGUUCAACA